rnacentral:rRNA from 1 species
GGCGGCAGGCCUAAUACAUGCAAGUCGAGCGCGCCCUUCGGGGUGAGCGGCGGACGGGUGAGUAACGCGUGGGAAUAUGCCCUUCUCUAAGGAAUAGCCUCUGGAAACGGAGAGUAAUACCUUAUACGCCCUUUGGGGGAAAGAUUUAUCGGAGAAGGAUUAGCCCGCGUUAGAUUAGGUAGUUGGUGGGGUAAUGGCCUACCAAGCCUACGAUCUAUAGCUGGUUUGAGAGGAUGAUCAGCCACACUGGGACUGAGACACGGCCCAGACUCCUACGGGAGGCAGCAGUAGGGAAUCUUAGACAAUGGGGGCAACCCUGAUCUAGCCAUGCCGCGUGUGUGAUGAAGGCCCUAGGGUCGUAAAGCACUUUCGCCAGAGAUGAUAAUGACAGUAUCUGGUAAAGAAACCCCGGCUAACUCCGUGCCAGCAGCCGCGGUAAUACGGAGGGGGUUAGCGUUGUUCGGAAUUACUGGGCGUAAAGCGCACGUAGGCGGAUUAGUAAGUUAGAGGUGAAAUCCCAGGGCUCAACCCUGGAACUGCCUUUAAUACUGCUAGUCUUGAGUUCGAGAGAGGUAAGUGGAAUUCCGAGUGUAGAGGUGAAAUUCGUAGAUAUUCGGAGGAACACCAGUGGCGAAGGCGGCUUACUGGCUCGAUACUGACGCUGAGGUGCGAAAGUGUGGGGAGCAAACAGGAUUAGAUACCCUGGUAGUCCACACCGUAAACGAUGAAUGCCAGACGUCAGCAAGUAUACUUGUUGGUGUCACACCUAA